UAAACAAAUACUGUGUGAUGUCAGCUAUAAGAAUAUUUUCCUCAUAUUGCUUAGCGUGUACUCAAUCAUCUUUUUCCUUUUAUUUAGACUAUCGUAUUAUCCAUAUGUCGUCUUUCCAAAUGCCAAAAAUAUUAAAAGCAGAUGAUUGCUUCUUGUAUCUUCCACAUGCUCCUUUGAUCAUUUUAUGAUUAUUUUAUUUAGCAAAACAUUUAUUCAGCA
rnacentral:lncRNA from 1 species